AGAGUUUGAUCCUGGCUCAGAACGAACGCUGGCGGCAUGCCUAACACAUGCAAGUCGAACGAGACCUUCGGGUCUAGUGGCGCACGGGUGCGUAACGCGUGGGAAUCUGCCCUUGGGUUCGGAAUAACUUCGGGAAACUGAAGCUAAUACCGGAUGAUGACGUAAGUCCAAAGAUUUAUCGCCCAAGGAUGAGCCCGCGUAGGAUUAGCUAGUUGGUGAGGUAAAGGCUCACCAAGGCUACGAUCCUUAGCUGGUCUGAGAGGAUGAUCAGCCACACUGGGACUGAGACACGGCCCAGACUCCUACGGGAGGCAGCAGUGGGGAAUAUUGGACAAUGGGCGAAAGCCUGAUCCAGCAAUGCCGCGUGAGUGAUGAAGGCCUUAGGGUUGUAAAGCUCUUUUACCCGGGAAGAUAAUGACUGUACCGGGAGAAUAAGCCCCGGCUAACUCCGUGCCAGCAGCCGCGGUAAUACGGAGGGGGCUAGCGUUGUUCGGAAUUACUGGGCGUAAAGCGCACGUAGGCAGCUCCCUACAUAAGAGGUGAAAGCCCGGGGCUCAACUCCGGAAUUGCCUUUAAGACUGCAUCGCUUGACCUCGGAGAGGUAAGUGGAAUACCGAGUGUAGAUGUGAAAUUCGUAGAUAUUCGGAAGACCACCAGUGGGCGAAGGCGACUAACUGGACGAUUGUUGACCCUGAGGUGCCAAAGCCUGGGGAGCAAACGGG
rnacentral:rRNA from 1 species